rnacentral:tRNA from 1 species
GGAGUCGUAGCUCAGUGGUAGAGCGCUUGCCUAGCAUGUGUGAGGCACUGGGUUCGAUUCUCAGCACCA